rnacentral:lncRNA from 1 species
GCUUUGCCAUGGAGGAUUGAUUGUACGUGGGCUGUCAGCUCAGUAAAGGCAGGCAGCUGCAGGGGUCAAGCAGAAGUAGCAGAGAAGGCCUACCCUUUGCACACCAGUACUUCUGGGGCCAGCAAUUGCUCCACAGAAGCCCCCCUCUGGCCCUCAUCCCUAACCUGGCAGAUUUCCCACACCAUAACCCCUAGUACAUUCAGGUCCCCUCUCCCGUGAAUCUUUUCCAUCUCAGUUGGGAGUCGCUCUGGAAAGAUCAGUAUUGUUUUGGGUACUUCCCCACGGAAAAGAGAGGUGCCACAGCCUCUCUACCCUAAGUAGAGACACUAGGUUCUGCUGUCCUGGAUAGGAGAACCAAGGUUUCAGAGCCAAUACAGUCUCAAUGGUUCAUGGGCUUAGGACCCAUAUCUGGCCCUAAGCACCUGGGAAUGUGCACUUGAACCAUUCUUCAUUACCCAGACUUGGGUGGCCUUGUAGGGAUUCAAGGGAUUAAUAUUUGUGUCACUUCCUUUAACUUAUUAACUAUUUAUUGUAUCCGGAACCUGUGAUUCAGCUCCCUGAAGCAGACCCUGGGAUGGGUGAGAGAAAAUGGGAAGAAGGGGGUGUUCUUCCCAUCCCCAUUCUUCCCAGUUCUCAUCAAUGUCAGACCCACCAGAGCUGAGGGCGGAGGGACUGGGGGCUGGGGCAGCCUGGGUCCCCAUCCCUUCUUUGUGCCUCGGUCUCCCCCCUUCCAUGGUAAGCGGGGGAAGCUCCAUUCUUAACCUACCUCGUUUUGGGAAGGGGUGGGGAGGGGGACCAGAGUGCUGUAUGGUGCUGUGAGAUCUUCAGAUUAAGCAGUGGGGACUUGGGGAAGGUUCCCUAGUCCCCCAUCUCCCAGUACCCCCUCUCCCAGGUCCCCCAGCCCUGUUCCUUGUCGAUACCCACCUCUGAUCCAUGAUUACCUUCCAUUGCCCCCAUAUCUGGGGUGCAUAGAGGACUGAACUCUGGGGGCCAGGAAGUCCUCAGAUCCUGGAGCUCCUGACCCCAAUUUUCCAGCUGCUUGCCCCUCAGAUUGGAUGCUUGCCCCCCAGAUUUUGGGGGAGGUAUGCCAACAUUUAUCUUCCUGAUCUUGAUUCCCAGCCAGUUUGUGACUUUGUCAGUGGCAGGGCAGGCUGAAGUGGAAGGAGGAUGGGGGGGCCAAAGAUCCAGCCUUGUCAUUGGGGGAGGGGGGCUUGAGAUCUGCUCCAAGAAAUGUCUGUGACCGUGUCUCAGCCUGGUCUUUAUUCGUGUUGGCGCGCCCUGUGCCCUUUUUUACCCGAAGGGCUUGACUUUACUCCUCUUCCCCUAUACAUCCUUCAGUCCCAAACUGGUCACACAGCUGGGUUUAUCUGUCCAGUCAAGUACAUUUACUAAACCCCUAAUGUGUCAGGCCCCCUUGUGACUGGUGGCGACACAGUGAACAACGGGAGGGGAGGGGUUCCAUGGGUGUGUGUAGGGGUCAACCAGCACCAGCUAUUAAGGUAGGAAUUGUGGCUGCUA